rnacentral:rRNA from 1 species
UACGAAGGGGGCUAGCGUUGUUCGGAAUCACUGGGCGUAAAGCGUAUGUAGGCGGAUCGUUAAGUCGGGGGUGAAAUCCCGAGGCUCAACCUCGGAACUGCCUUCGAUACUGGCGAUCUUCGAGUCCGGGAGAGGUGAGUGGAACUCCGAGUGUAGAGGUGAAAUUCAUAGAUAUUCGGAAGAACACCAGUGGCGAAGGCGGCUCACUGGCCCGGUACUGACGCUGAUAUACGAAAGCGUGGGGAGCAAACAGG